rnacentral:lncRNA from 1 species
UUCCUUUUGGCCAAAAGCAAGACACUUGGCUGAGUCCAAAGUCAUGGUUCAGGGAAGCGCUUUCCACCUGUAUGAGGUCAAAGCAAAACUCACAUGGCCAACCCAGCAUCAGUGGAAGAGCCUUCGGGACCUACUGGAGGCUGAUCUUGUAUGGAUGUCACUUCCACUUGAAGAAACGUGCUUCCAUACUGUUCCAUCAUUCUGUGCAUUCUGUGAGAUAUCAAGUCAUCUUGAUAUGCCAAAUAUACCAUUUCACAGUCAUGUGAUCAUGUGGUGUCCCACGAUCAGGAAAGAAGCAAUUUCUGGACUCCCAUGGGACACAUGCUGAGGGUGCUGAAGAAUUGAUUGCAUAUGAUAAAUUCAUUCCAGUGUUCCUAUCUCCUAAGCCUUUGGAUUCCUUCCUCACCAUUGUGUCCAGGAAGUUCUAAUAUCUCAACUUCAUUUAGUGAAGGAUAACUCUGAGUCUUGAUUUCAAUCAACCAAACAAUGAAGCUGUUAGAGUCAUUCUUGGCAGUUUGAGCCACAUAUUAAAUCCCAAAACUCUGGUGUUUGCAAGGAUAUCAAUCAGUUUGACCUUUUUCACUGUUAGUUUCCUUAGUCCCUGGUCUUAUUUGCUUAGAAUACAUUCAUCACACAUAG